UGAGGCCUAUGAUGGAUUUGAACAUUUGCCUACAUUGUCCGAUUUUUCAUGAUGGAGAAUUUGAAACUGUUCUGAGGCCUCU